rnacentral:rRNA from 1 species
UACGUAGGUGGCAAGCGUUGUCCGGAUUUAUUGGGCGUAAAGAGCUCGUAGGCGGCUCAUUGCGUCAACCGUGAAAACCAGCAGCUCAACUGUUGGCUUGCGGUUGAUACGGGUGGGCUGGAGUUCGGUAGGGGAGACUGGAAUUCCUGGUGUAGCGGUGAAAUGCGCAGAUAUCAGGAGGAACACCGGUGGCGAAGGCGGGUCUCUGGGCCGAUACUGACGCUGAGGAGCGAAAGCGUGGGGAGCGAACAGG